UACGUAGGGUGCGAGCGUUAAUCGGAAUUACUGGGCGUAAAGCGUGCGCAGGCUGUUUUGUAAGUCAGAUGUGAAAUCCCCGAGCUCAACUUGGGAACUGCGUUUGAAACUACAAGACUAGAAUAGGUCAGAGGGGGGUAGAAUUCCACGUGUAGCAGUGAAAUGCGUAGAGAUGUGGAGGAAUAUCAAUGGCGAAGGCAGCCCCCUGGGAUCAUAUUGACGCUCAUGCACGAAAGCGUGGGGAGCAAACAGGAUUAGAUACCCUGGUAGUCCACGCCCUAAACGAUGUCUACUAGUUGUUGGUGGAGUAAAAUCCAUGAGUAACGCAGCUAACGCGUGAAGUAGACCGCCUGGGGAGUACGGUCGCAAGAUUAAA
rnacentral:rRNA from 1 species